rnacentral:lncRNA from 1 species
GGCUCGCAGAUGCGGCCGGCCCAGAGCCCUCGAACCUCGGACUCUGACUCGCGCCUACCCGUGGCUCUUCUAGCGUCUCCUUCCCUGCUUUUCUCUUUUGCGCUCUGCCCUCCCCUGCCCACCCGAACCAAGGGAGCAGAUCUACUGGGGGGCCCUACAGGGUGGGGCCCACGGGCAGCCCGCUCUCUCCACGAACCGAGCUGCCUCCAGGCCUGUUCCCAGACCUCGGUGCCCGCCAGAUGCUCUGCGAAUUCCCUCCGCCCGCCCCAGCCUUCCCGCACCCUCCGCGCUCCCUGAACGUCCCAGGGAAGCUCUGUUCGCUUUUGUUUUUUUUUUUUUUCCCUUUUUCGCAACCCCUUCUUGGCUUCCUUUAUCCCUUGAAUUUUGUAUGUUUCCUGAAAGACACGUGGGAGGCCAGUGUCUCGUGUGGAAUCUGCCAGUCAGUGCAGCGCUUUCCCGGAGUUGAGUUUACUCUGCAGCUCUUUUGAAUGUUUGAGCCCUGUCUGCCUAUAGGUCUCGUCAAGACCAGCCCAUGUUUCUUAAAAACUGCAGUAUUAUGAAGAGUUCCUGUGCCUUGCCGCGUUUUCACCUUUUUAGAAUGCGACAUCUGUUCAUCUUUAAAAUAUCAUUUUAUCUCAUACUGUUAGUAGUAGCUUCUUAACUACUACCCAUUCUUAACUUUAAGAAGCAUAGAAUUUAGAAUAUAGAACGACCGCUUGUAUGGCCUGGAUCUGGGCACUUAACCUUACUAAGUUUAUCUCGUGUAAACUGACCUUGCUAACUCACGUGAGGCUUAAAUAAUACAAUGUGGAAGACUUCAGGGCACAUUUUUGGUUUUUUGGUUUUUGUUUGUUUCUUGAGACGGGGUCUCACUCUGUCGCCCAGGCUGGAGUCCAGUUGCACAAUCUCGGCUCACUGCAGCCUCCUCAUCCUGGGUUCAAGCAGUUCUGCCUUAGCCUCCGGAGCAGCUGGAAUUAGGUCGCCCACCACCACGCCCGGCUAAUUUUUGUAUUUUUAGUAGAGACGGGGUUUCACCAUGUUGGCCAGGCUGGUCUCGAAGUCCUGACCUCAGGUGAUCCACCCGCCUCGGCCCCCCAAAAUGCUGGGAUUACAGGCGUGAGCCACUGCGCCCUGCCAAGGACACAUUUUUGUAUCAAAUGGUUAAUGAUAAAAUUAGACUUAAAAUAACGUGAAACCUUCAAAUAUCAAGGGGAGAAAAACAGGAAAUGGGUAUCUUUGUUUAAAAAGCAAGAUGCUAUAAACAGCAUAUGGUAACAUACUGUUUUUAUUAAACAAAUUUAAAAUAUUAGAUAAUGGUAGAUAGGUUAUAUGAUAACCUUAUAAACGUCAUUUCAGUC